rnacentral:rRNA from 1 species
UACGGGGGGGGCAAGCGUUGUUCGGAAUUACUGGGCGUAAAGGCCAGUAGGCGGCCAACUAAGUCGGAUGUGAAAUCCCCAGGCUUAACCUGGGAACUGCAUCCGAUACUGGAUGGCUUGAAUUCGGGAGAGGGAUGCAGAAUUCCAGGUGUAGCGGUGAAAUGCGUAGAUAUCUGGAGGAAUACCGGUGGCGAAGGCGGCAUCCUGGACCGACAUUGACGCUGAACGGCGAAAGCUAGGGGAGCAAACGGG